rnacentral:tRNA from 1 species
GCCGCCUGGGUGAAGUCUGGACAGCGGCCCUUCAAGCCGUCAACGGGGGUCCGAACCCCCCUGGGGGCACCA